UACGGGAGGCAGCAGUGGGGAAUAUUGCACAAUGGGCGCAAGCCUGAUGCAGCCAUGCCGCGUGUAUGAAGAAGGCCUUCGGGUUGUAAAGUACUUUCAGUCGUGAGGAAGGUGUUAAGGUUAAUAACCUUAGCAAUUGACGUUAGCGACAGAAGAAGCACCGGCUAACUCCGUGCCAGCAGCCGCGGUAAUACGGAGGGUGCGAGCGUUAAUCGGAAUUACUGGGCGUAAAGGGCACGCAGGCGGUUAAUUAAGUUGGAUGUGAAAUCCCCGGGCUUAACCUGGGAAUGGCAUUCAAGACUGGUUAGCUAGAGUCUUGUAGAGGGGGUUAGAAUUCCAUGUGUAGCGGUGAAAUGCGUAGAGAUGUGGAGGAAUACCGGUGGCGAAGGCGGCCCCUGGACAAAGGCUGACGCUCAUGUGCGAAAGCGUGGGGAGCGAAACAGGGAUUAGAUACC
rnacentral:rRNA from 1 species